CCAGCAUUCAGUUGGGCACUCUAAGGUGACUGCCGGCUAAAAGUCGGAGGAAGGUGGGGAUGACGUCAAAUCAUCAUGCCCCUUAUGACCUGGGCUACACACGUGCUACAAUGGGCGGUACAAAGGGUCGCGAACCCGCGAGGGGGAGCCAAUCCCAAAAAAGCCGCUCUCAGUUCGGAUUGCAGGCUGCAACUCGCCUGCAUGAAGCCGGAAUCGCUAGUAAUCGCGGAUCAGCAUGCCGCGGUGAAUACGUUCCCGGGCCUU
rnacentral:rRNA from 1 species